UACGUAGGUGGCAAGCGUUGUCCGGAUUUAUUGGGUUUAAAGGGUGCGUAGGCGGCUUUGUAAGUCAGUGGUGAAAUAUGGCAGCUUAACUGUCAAGGUGCCAUUGAUACUGCGGAGCUUGAGUACAGAUGAGGUAGGCGGAAUUGACGGUGUAGCGGUGAAAUGCUUAGAUAUGACACAGAACACCGAUUGCGAAGGCAGCUUGCUAAGCUGUAACUGACGCUGAUGCACGAAAGCGUGGGUAGCAAACAGG
rnacentral:rRNA from 1 species